CUCUUUACUAUUUAGGAUAAACUGAUGGUUACCAGAGGGGAGUUGCCUGAGGCAGAUGGGUGAAUUCCGUGAUGGGAAUUAAAAGGUUCAUUUAUCAUGAUAAGCACUGAGUAAUGCAUAGCAUUGUUGAUUCACUCUAUUGGACAACUGAAAUUAACACAACGUUGCAUGGUAACUAUACUGCAAUUAAAAUGAGAAACUUAAAGUAAAUAUAAUUUGCAUAUAAUAAAAAACACCAGAAAAUUUAUUAUAAAUGUAAAGUUUGGAUCACUGAUACAAAGUCAAAACCAAUGUCUUUCCAGAAAUAAAAACCAUUAAGAAGGAUCAAAACAAAAACCUAAACUAAACUAAAAUGGAACCAAAACAGGGAUGGAAACAAAAAUAUUCAGUUGUAUUUAGAUGAAAUUGCCUGCCUGAAGAGUCCCUUGAAUGGGCUUUAACUCAUUGCAGUUUGAAAAAGGACAGUAGCAAGUAUAAGAAAAGCUCAAAAAUGAAUGGAAGAGUCAGGUCCUAGUGUACUCUGUCCAGUUAUGGGAACUACUAAGGGAAACGCUUUGGUGUUUUGAUUUCAUACAGAUGAAAACUAAUUAAGAUGUCAUUUUCACCUCCUAGCUACACAGAAAAUGCACAAGUUUGAUCACACUGUCAGCAAGACUCCCAGGAAACAGACAUUCUUGGACAUUGCUGGUGGAAGUACAGUUGGUUGGCACUCACCCUGAGCCUCCACUCUGGUUCUACACUGCAAGUGGUGAAGACUUAUUGUCCUGACCAUGGAAUUCCUCUUCCAUGACCUGGACCAGUUCACCCAGAAGCUGCAGCAGCAUGUGACAUCAGUGACAGCAGCCCCAUCUAAGUACCCGAGGAAGCAACAAUAGCACUAACGACAUCAUCAGGACUAGUAUAUGACAACAUUAUCAUAACCACAGAGAUGAAUGACCAUCAGCCUGAGGUGGAGGAGCCGGGAUGUGACCUUGCUGCCUGACUUGGCCUCAUCUUCUGUACAAGCUGACCUGGAGGAAAGCUGGGCUGUGGGGCCAAGCAUUUUUGUGGCCCCUGUUCCCUCUGGAGUCUCCAGGCCCCAGCUUCCUGCUCUCCCAACGUCCCCUCCCAGACCCAAGUUAGAAGUGGGACUUUUCUCAGCCUUGGUCCAGUCUCUUGUGAGGGCUCUGAGCCUGGUUCCCCAUCUGUGCAAGGGGUUAUAGAUGUACUGACCUCUGGGUCCCAAGAAGUCAUGUUUGCAAAAGAAAAGGCUUAGCACAGGCCUGAAACAGGAGGGGCUUCUGGUUUUCACCUUUGUGACCUUUAACAGUUGUGCAACUUUAAGGCACCAGACUGGGAAGACACUUGACCCAUGGAGGUGAUAAUGCUGAUACCCACAAAUGCUCAGCACAAGGCUUCCUCUUGUCCUCAACACAGUUCUGGACACAGACAUGGACAUGCCUAUUUUGCUGAUGGAAACCAGCCCAGGGUCACACAGCUGGCAAGCAGCACAGCUGGACCUCAAACUCUAGGUUCCUAGCCCUUCCCCCAGGGGCCACAAAGGGCUCCCGAGAUGAGAGGCUGACAUUGGCUUUGGGGGUACUUCCUCACCUCCGUGAAUGAUCUCACUUGUUUGAGGCCCCCCCAAACUCUGUUCACUGGUUCCUCUUCCCCUGGUCCCUGCUCCGGUUAUAAUCGGGGUGACCCUGGCCACUCUUCAUGGAAUUCCCUAGGCCCCCUUAUAGUCAGGGCCUCUCUCCCAUUCAGUUUUAGGCCAGUUGGACUCCACCCCUUCUGCAGCUGGUCUCUUCUCCUAUAACCAGGACAGCCCAACUGGGGGCUCUAUUUAGGCAGGCAGCAUUAUCUAAAGGGAAUUUAACACUAUUGGUUUUUUACUCAUCUUUUGUUUUAGUUUUGCUUGUUUUUCUAUGGUUUCUUUGUAUUUAGGUUGGAGACCUUGCUUUGCUGUUUUAGCAGUGCCAGAAUAGUUCCUGUUACAAUAAAUUUAUAUAAUAAUAAAAGUGAGGAGAUUCAGAGCAAUGAUUUUUUGCUGGCUUGUGCAUGAAUG